rnacentral:tRNA from 2 species
GCGGGGGUAGCCAAGCCUGGUCAAAGGCGCAGGGCUUAGGACCCUGUCCCGUAGGGGUUCGUGGGUUCAAAUCCCACCCCCCGCA